UGCAUCAAGGUAGUCGCUUUCCGGCUGUUUAGUGUAGAGUAUCUCUACAGGAAAAGUUCUCCCAGGGAUAGUGAAGAUGUUACAGUUAAAGAAAUAACCGGAAAACUUCUCCGCAUCCAAGGUAGCAGAUGUGACAAUCAAACGAAGGUCUGGUCUCCGCUUCACAAGCUUCUUCAGUAGUCCAAAAAGAACAUCUGUGUGGAUUGUCCUCUCAUGAGCUUCAUCAAGCAUGACCACAGAAUACUGAGAAAGGUUCUCAUCAAUCAAAAUCUCCCUAAGAAGCAUACCAUCAGUCAUGUACUUGAUGACAGUGUCUGGACCAGUGCAAUCCUCAAAACGAAUUGCAUAGCCGACUUCCUCUCCUAAACGACAACCAAACUCUUCAGCAACCCUCUUGGCCACAGACAUAGCAGCCACCCUACGUGGCUGUGUACAACCAAUCUUACCCAUUGUCGUGUAACCCGCUUCUGCAAGAUACUGCGUUACCUGUGUUGUCUUACCCGAACCAGUCUCACCAAUGACGACAAGCACUUGGUUCUCAUGCACCGCUGCAAUCAAUUCUUUCUUCAGCUUGUAGAUAGGCAAGCUCUGCCUCUGUUCCUGGAUUGAGAGUUUUGACCUCUGCCCAAAACUGAUAGUUUUCCCAAAAGCAUCCUUCUUCCACUCAGGCAUAUCAUAUGCUGACAAACCAACACCUCUAAGUUCUUGUGCAAGAUGCCUCUCACCAGUCUCUGGCAUUGGAUCUUCCCAGGGACGAUUGAGAUCCUUUGGGAUAGAAUCCAACAUGGUUCUCUGCUGCUGCUCACGCACUUCUCUACGCUCCUUAAUGAGUGCGGACUGAAGUGCAGCUGCACGACCCAGUGACCCUUCUGGAUUCUUAAAGAUUUUCACAGGUGACAUAUCAACAGAAUACCUGCUCUGUCCAUUUAAAAAGGCUGGCUCGUCCUCAUUGAGCUCAAUCUCAAGCUCUUCCUCAGCUCCCUCUUCUUGAUAAAGCAUCCCAUCGGUUUCCUCAUCAUACAUAGGAUACUCUGUAACACCCAAAACACCUGAGGCAAUCAACUGUUUGGCUUCCCACUUCUCUGGCGAGCUCAUUCUCUUCAAUGGCCGACGUGAUGGGCCAACAUCAUCCUCUUCCACAAUCCUAAUCCCAGAAAGACCAGUCCUAGUCACAGGUCCAUCCUUUGAAAAAGAUGGGUUCGUCCUAAGAGCAUCAUCCUCUGAGCUCUUCUUCAAGGGGAGCAAAUCCUUCCCUGUAUGUUGAUCAACAUCCCUCAUUGAAAGGCUCAACUUCUGACCUGAAAUUGAAAUCACCUUCACAUAAACUUCCUGAUCCCUCUUCACCACAUCCUUAGCAUUGCUAAUUCGCCUAGUUGCCAUCUGUGAAACGUGAACCAGACCCUCCUUCCCUCUUAAAUCAUUCAACUGAACAAAACAACCGGUGUCCAUCACUCUCGAAACCCUGCCCUUAUAAACCUGAUACAAUUCGGGCUCAUCCGAAUGGUUCUGGCCGUUCUGCCGAUCCCUAUUACCUCUCCUAUCAUCACCAUCUUCCUUAACAUCUCCAUCGUCUUCAUACCUAUCUCUCUUAUGCUUAUUGUAUCGAUCUGUAUGCCUUCCCCUGUCAUCAUCAUCAUCAUUAUAAUGUGUAUCUCUGCGCCUCUCAUCUCUAUCAUACCUUUCCCUUCGCCUCUCCCUCCCAUCUCUAUCUCUACCUCCUCUGUGUCUAUCUCGAUCUCUAUCUCUAUCUCCUUCCCUAUAUCUAUCACUACCUCUACGCCUAUCUUCUUCUCGCUCUUCAUCUUGUUCUUCUCUUCUGUUUCGCUUUUCCUUGGUCUCCAUCUCAAUUUCCUUCUCGAUGUCCUUGACUCUAUCUUUAUUAUCAGCGACUGCCAAAGCCUUAAACUUGGUCUUCCUACCAUCAGAAGCGCUCUCUUUCUUCGAGUCCUUCUCAGGCUUUGGCUUUGGUGGAAGAAUAGCGUGAAUGAUAGUGAGGAGUGUACGGACAAAGUAAUCGGGCAUCUCGGCACCGUUUUUCUUUAAUUUGGUGUCAAACUCGUCCACCGUCUCGCACUUUCGUCCCAACUCAGUGAUGAACUCCGCCAGAACUUUGUCCCCAACCCCUAUAUGGGUUUCGAGCUCUGAACAGACCUUGGAAACCAAGGAAAGGUACUCGAGCUUCUUCAAACCAUCGUCAGUGGCAGCCAUUAUGAACUUGCAGAGGUCCUAUUCAUAUUCAAUACAAAAACAAAUCAUAUCAAUAGAAAUUUCAAAAUUUAUGAGAAGAUGCAUAAACCGUAUAAUAUUAACUUGCACAGGCCCUAUUCAUAUUCAAGACAAAAAAUUCAUAUCAACGGAAAUUUCAAAAUUUAUGAGAAGAUCAUUGCUAUAUACUUUUAAUCAGUAGCAUAAAGUUCAAAAUUCAUGAAUGAUAAAUUUAUCACAAAAAAAGAAACAAUUUCUACAACUUCAAACUCACCCAGCAAAAAAUAAAAUUUAAAUCUAAAAUUGCAUACCAGGAGGAUCUGGAGAGUUAAUUCAACUAAUAAUAAAGUAAACUUGGAAUGCCAAAGCAAAUUCAACUAAAACCCUGUAGAACCCAGGAAAUAAGAAACGGAAGAGAAUAAAAAAGAAAUAUGAAACAAAAUCAAGGAAACUGAUCGUUGCUAAAGGGUGGAUCUUAAAUAUGUGAUGGGAUGGGGUCCAAGAUUAGAAUAUAUUGCAGUAAGACAUCAUACUUGGGAUGAGAUGAGAUCAAAGAUGGUUGCGCAUCAACCGUUGUCGCUGUCGAGAGAGAGGAGAGAUGAGCAAUAUGUAUAUGGCGGGAAGACGGCGUCGAAAAAUGGAGGAGUUGACGGUUGAGAUGGGCGGAUUGUUCGUCGCUGACGGCUGGAGCGUUUCUGUUUCAAAAAUAAUCUCAACUGAGAGGGGGGAUUUUAGCGAUUAGGGUUGAGAACUUGAGUUGGAGUGCACCGGCUGUAUCGAUACGCCUAAAUUUGGACCUGUGAAACUAGAGAAAAUAAUAUAAUAAUAAUAUCAUUUAUCUUUCCAAAGGCCAAAAACUUAUAAGUAAAAAUUUAAUAAAUUACAGAGAAACUUUAGUAAAUAGAAGAAUAUUAGGUAUGCAAUAAAAAGAUGAGGAAAAUUUUGGAAAAUAUAGUUAGUGGAGAUUUUUUUUUUUUUUUUAUACAAACAAUAAUCUAGUUUUUUUAUUUUUAUAAUCAUUCUAGGCCUACUUUAAUUUUUAUUUUUUAACAGCUAAUAGGAUAUUGGCACAUGAGUUGAUCUAUAGUAUUUUUUUACUACUUUUUGUUAGGUUAUUUUUAAUUUAAAUAUUCACUAGCCUCUUUUCACGCUCUUCUGCUUCUGUGAGAGGCUUUUUUAAAAAAAAAAUUGAAUUUAUUUUAGAAUUAAAAAAGAUAAUGAGUAGUUGUGUUCUAUAAAAAUAGGAUCCAUUAUCUGAUUUUUCUUUUAAUUUUAAUCUUUUUAAUAUGAAAAAAUGUGAAUUUACCAUAUUAUUCUCAUUUAAUUAAUAAUUUCAAUUCUUAAUGUUUGCAUUAAUCAAUGACAUUUUCUGGUAUUUUAAAUAUUUUAUCAUUCUCUACCUUUUGCUUUGUAUAUAUGGAUAUAGAUAAUAAUAAAAUACUCCCUUUCAUUGAGAUAUUGUUAUGCUUAAAAUCGUAUACACACCACAUUGUAUUGAAAUGUUAUAGUGACUAAACUCUUCAAGUAUCUUGCAAUUAUCAGAUAAGGAGUUAGUAAUCACAUAGGAAAAUAUUCAAUUUAUAUGUUUCUGGUUAUAAUAGUCAUGAUGCAUUUCACACCUUUUGCUGGUCUAGUCAAUACUGUUAUACUUCAGAAUUCCAAUAACGCUACGGGCACCAACUUAUUUACCAACUUUUGGAUACCAACACAUGUGGCACAUGACAUGGCAACCCAUGUCAUCUGCCAUCUCAUCUAUUUUAAUUACAAAAUUAACAAAGUGAGAAUGAACAAAAAAUAAUUUUGGUGGAUUAUUAUCGCGUUUGGAGUGAGUUUGGGUGUUUGAUUUGAUUUUGAUUAUUUAAUAAUACUAUUUUGGCCAUUGGAUUUGAUUUUGAGACAUUGGAAUUUUUUUUUUUUUGGUACAGUUGGAUUUGCUCAAAUUAAAUCUUAGCCAUUAUAUAUAACGAUAGAAAUUAAUUGGAAAAGAAAACGAAACAGUAGUUUGAAGGAAGCCGUUGGAUUCCUACGAUCCUUUCAUCCCAGCUCGUUAUGUGUCCUGACAACACGGGCCCCACGUCUUCUCAUCCAUUAAUCCCAACUCAAUGAACUUCCUUUUCAAACCCAACAAAAAAGAAAAAAAAAAAAAAAAGCGAUCUGAUUUGAAUGCACUUCUUUAUCAUGCAUUUUGUCCAGGAUAGGGGACUGAUUUUCCAGGCCAAGUGCGCAAAACAGUAGAGAUUUUAAAAUCAACUUUCCGAACGUAAAAUUAAAGUGGCUCGUUUAUGAAAAAGUUUCCCUCCCAUCUCCUCCUACUUUUCCCUCCUCACUCCCCUAGAAGAAUACCGGUAUAUAUUUUUCAUUUUCGGAAUUUCCAUUUUGUCUCAACUCAAACGUCAUUUGCUCUUGUCAUCCUCCUCCUUCAAUCCAACCCGCAUCCAUUGUUAGCUCGAAUCUUCUAAAACUACUACUUCGUUGUAAUUGGAUAUUAUUGAUUUGAUGGGUAGAGAGCAAGCUUAUGUUGGUGACGAUAUUGAUGAAAGUAAGUUCAAGACUUCGGAAGCAAUGAACCGCUACAAGAUAAUCUUCAGUGUUCAAGCUGUGACGGUUGAGCGGGAGGUCAAAUUGAGUGACUUCGAGGAUCUUGGGCUUCCUAGAAUCUUCAAAUCAAGAGGUUGGCUUUUGGCAAUGGGUCCUUCAGAGCCUACUAAUAUCCAGAUUGUCCAAGAAUUCUACGCAAACAUUCCUCCUUUCUCCGCCGAGCAGAAAACCUCACCUGGGUUGGGCCCUUUUGGUUCUUGUUUGUGGGAUGAGACUCUGCAUUUCUCUAGCGGUCGAGAAUACCCUGACUCAUUUGAUGUGUAUUUGCGAGGUAAGGUGUUAAAUUUCUCUGUUUCUGGCAUUGCCCAGUUACUUAAACUUACUAGGGCAAACCCAAAUGAAAAAUCACCUGGUUUUCCUGGGCUUGUUGUUGAUAAUCUUGACUUGAAGGUGGUGAAAUCUACUUUGGGUUGGAACAAGAGGGUCAGGGUUUUGCGUGAAAAUCGACUGAGUGAUUUGUACAAAGUGCUUAACAGCAUAGUGAGAUAUAAUAUCGAUCCUCCUUGUCACGUUAUCCCUUCUUUGCUUAGCAUUGAUAGAGCUCGCCUUCUUUAUGCCAUUGGGAACAAUGUACCUACUGAUCUGGCCACCUACAUUUUUCGUGCCAUCUGCCGUGCUGCAUUCCCAACUUCCAUGCCCGACUCCCUGCCUUUUACUUCCUUGAUCACACGCUUCGCCAUGGCUUCUCACGUGCCAGUUGAGCCUACGGAUAAGCUUUAUUCUCCUUGGUCGCCUUUGGACAACGUGGAUAUUUUUGGCUAUAGCUUUACUCCAUCUUCUCCGGCAGUCAAGCAACCUCAAGCCGUGGUGAGCCACACGCCCAGUAUGGCCAUACUUACCAAUGGCGUUGCUGAGCACAGGGGUGAUGUGCACCCCGUUUCCACCCACUCGGUCAUCCCACCUUCUUCGAAACAGCCAUCUGCAGGUCAGUCAAAUGUUAAUAGACAGACAUUAACAACAACAAAUGUAAUUUUCCUUAGAUUACACUUGGACAUUCAGCUUAUUACUGUAAAAUGCAUAGGCCCUUAUUGUUUUUAAGUGCAGGUGGUAAAAAUUUCCGAGGGUUUUCGUUGGUAGCAUCAUAGUUAGUAACAGAGUUGAACUUAUAGUAAGCAAUUAGGCAUCAAACAUGGCACGUUUCUGUGAUUAGUACUUAUGUCCUUCAAUUGUGUAUAUAUUGUUUGCAUGGUAAGUGGAAACCUUUAGAAGAUAAGCUCUCUGUUUGAAAUCACAUCUGUAUUCUUUUAAGGUUUGGUGUGAAGGAUAAACCAUGAAGUAGUCUACUAAUGCGAUAAUGGCUCAUAUUUUCACAUUUUCCUGUCUUCGUUGCCUCUGUUCUUGAAAACGUAUAAAGUGAUGGAGAGGUCUUAUUAUUUUUGGAAAAUAUUACAAUGUUCCCACAUCCCUGUAAUCUGUAUUUGACAGUGUACAUUGAUAAUAAAAUGAACGACUCAGAUACUUCAUGUGACAAUGAGGUAUGAACUUCAUCACAUUUUGUCUCUUUAAGGUUAUAAUAGUCACGAUGCAUUUCACACCUUUGCUGGUUUAGUCAAUGCUGUUAUACUUCAGAAUUCAGAUAGAUUAGAAUCAGAUGAUUGCUUUCUCUCUGCUUGUUACCAAAUACUCUGUCAGUUUAAUAUCUUUGUGUGUAAACAAUAUAAGAAAAACGAAUCUUUUCUCUUGUGCUGUUUUUGCUCUCUUUGAUAUUUACUUUCUCUCUGUGCUUGUGCUGAAGAAAUAAUGGAGGCUGAAGAAGAAAAUAACAGCAAUUUGAUUCCUAACUCACAUGCUUGUAUAAAUCCAUUAACUUCAACUUCUGACUCGCAUCCAAAUAAGAAAGUGAAAAAAGAUCCAUUGGAACAUGCAGCUGGUGAGGUGUCAAAGUUACUGCUGAGUGGUUUCAAAGAUACCUAACGUCAGUAGAUUGCAAGUUUUUAAAGCUGUACGCAUAAUAUUGAAUGGUAACCCAGAAGAAUUCUCUCUACUGAUACUCUUCCUGAUGUUGAGAAGACAAAGUGGAUACUCUUACUAAUUAGUCAAUCUGAAGGUAACUUUCUUGAUAAAAAUUGAGCCAAUAGCUCAGGGGAUAUAAAAUAGGUCUUAGACAUAAAGCCACUUAUCAACAUUUACUUUCUCUCAGGAAAAGAAGAAAGUUUGAGAUACGCUAUCCCUUCUGGCCAUGGUAUGGCUCUCUCUCUCUCUCUCUCUCUCUCUCUGUCUCUCUCUGUGUCUCUCUCUCUCUGUCUCUCUCUCUCCCUCUAACUUAAUUUCUAGUUCUGCAUUUGUUGUUUUAAUUUUAUGCUUUUAACAUGUCAAACCAAUACUUCACUCUGUAAGAUUACUACUUAAUAUCUAGAUAGAAGAGAGAUUUGAACUGAAAUAUCCCAAUUGUAAAUCCUUCUACUCCAAAUUAAAGAGAAAAAGAAAAGUAUGAACCAAUUGGACAGAAUAUACUUGCACAUACUCCCUCCUUGAAUGAGUUUCAGUAAGAAAGCUAGUGUAGCCAAUUGGACAGAAUUUACUUGCACAUACUCCCUCCUUUGAUGUAGUUUCCAAGUGCAUCACCUUAUGAUACCUCUUCAUGUUUUCAAUUAGUAUUGGCUUGUGACAUGCCAAUUUUCUGAGCUUUUAGGGUUCAAUUAUGUAGAUAGAAGAGAGAUUUGAACUGAAAUAUCCCAAUUGUAAAUCCUUCUACUCCAAAUUAAAGAGAAAAAGAAAAGUAUGAACCAAUUGGACAGAAUAUACUUGCACAUACUCCCUCCUUGAAUGAGUUUCAGUAAGAAAGCUAGUGUAGCCAAUUGGACAGAAUUUACUUGCACAUACUCCCUCCUUUGAUGUAGUUUCCAAGUGCAUCACCUUAUGAUACCUCUUCAUGUUUUCAAUUAGUAUUGCCUUGUGACAUGCCAAUUUUCUUCAAUGAUUAUAUACAGGGAGCAGAGUGGCCAAUUCUUUCCUUUCAUAAUUCAACAUCUUGUUCUGGGCACAUGGUAGAAGAUGCCUUCUUGUAAACAGACUUUUUGUAUUUGGUCAGGCUUGCAAUGCUCUAUUUUGUGGAUUUUAAGAUUGUAUUAGGCUUACUUGUGAGCUGCAAAAUGCCUUGUACCAAAGUUUAUGUAUAAAAUGUGUGCUAAAUCUUGUGUGUGGAGUACAAGAUUGAAGGUCUUCCUGGAAAAGCAAUCACAAGCAUUUUCUCUUUUCAAUUUGUAGAAAUGUUCAAGUUCUUGCCCAUCACUUGCAGAUAUAUAGUGUUGUGUACCAUAAAGGCUCCAUCAUAUGCAAUUCCAUCAAGGCUUGCAGGCCAAUCACUGCUUUCUCUUGGAUAUUACAAACAUUUGUAGAGCCAUAAUGAAAACUUGGUAGACAAACCCAAAUACGUGCAUUGACCAUUUGCUUAAACUUGAUAGGCUAGCAAGAGCUUGUAGCUCAAGUGGUUAAGAGUAUCUAUCCUUACACUUGAGGUCCUAGAUGUGAUUCCCUCCUCCCAAUAUCGCUUGUAACCAAAAACAAGCAAAAAAACUUGAUAGGCCAGACCCAGAUGAACCUGGUUUUCAUAAACUUGUUUGUCAGCUUGAUAGUGGCUUAUUAGAGUCCAAAUUGGUUGGGAAAGUAAUGUCCACCAGUUUUAGCAGAUACCCUUUGAGACAAUGUUGAACAGAGCACUUCACUUGAUUGUUAAUGACUAGGGCCCCAAGGGUAUGUUCUUGGUAUGUUACCUUAGGCCUAAGAUACUCUGUCUGUCAGAAGAGAAGAAUGGAGAAGAGGGUGAACAGUGCACGAGAUUGCUGGGUUUUUGCAAGUUAGAGAGAUGAAGAAGGUGGAAAAAUAAGGCACAAAUGGGAAGAUAGCUUGCAUUCUUCUUAUUUUUAACAGACUUUUAUAUAUACCCUACAACGUAAACUAGAAAAUAAUUAUAUAAAAUAAUGAAAUUCCAAAACUCUUUUGGAUCUGAAAGUCUAAAGGUUUUCAUUUCUUCAGUUUUCCUCUCACUCUUUGGUUCUCCAUCAAUUUAUUUUUCAUCAUUCUCUCAUCUCAUCCCUCCUUUACAUGUAUGCAAUCAUUGUAUAUUAAAUGAGGAGAAGUGAGGAGAUGAGUAGAGCUGGGUUCAGGGUUGGUGACAAAGAAAAUGAAAUCAAUCAAUGAUGGAGAUAGAUGUCCAAAGAAAAAUAUUUUGAUGAAGUAGAGAAAUUGUAUUUUUGGGAAGAGUUGAGUGUCUAGAGAAUGGUGAGAAUAAAAAUAGAAACCCAUUGAAACACCGAGUGUAAACAGAAUUCUUGGUAAUAUGAAAUUUCUCUUUCACAUUCAAGGAGUCAAAUCACAUGAAAAGUUUAUGAAGGAACUAUGUUGUAACUACUCUUAACAACUUGAGCUAUACGUGUCAAGUUAGAUCUUCAAUAAUGUAGUAACACACUCUUCAAUAAUGUCUCACAAUGUUAGAUCUUUCAUAGUGAAAAUUAAAUUGAAGAGUGAGAAAGUGAUUUCUAAGAGCAACUCCACCGCUCAAGAUUGAGCUAGGGCAAUCAGUGGGUCCCACCAACCUGGGCAGGCCCAAAGGCAAUUCUUGCAUGGGCUUCAGCCCGAGGGCGGUGACAUCAGCGCACGGUAAUUCAAAUUUUUUUUACCGUUGGUGCGUGAAUUACACGCGCCAACAGUAAAAAAAUUUGACUUCCGCGCGCUAACGUCAGCCCUGAUAGACUCUAAUGGCCAUUUGACACGUAUCGCAACCGGGCUUCUCCGAUGAGUUUUUUUCCAGAAAUCCAACGGUCUUUGUUUUUUUGGCUAAAAAAAUUCCAAAAAAAUUCUGAAAUUUUUUUAAAAAAUACCAAAAAAAUUCUGUAUUUUUUUUUCCUAUAAAUACCUAACUAUUUUAUUUACUUUCCACACUAAAUCUUCAUACAAUUUCUUCUCCAUCCAAUAUUUUUUACUCUCCACUCACAUUAUUCACUUCCCACACCAAUUCUCCAUACAAACUCUUCUCCUUCCAAUAUUUUUUACUCUCCACUCACAUUUUUCACUUCCCACACCAAUUCUCCAUACAAAUUCUUCUCCUUCCAAUAUUUUUUACUCUCCACUCACAUUUUUCUACUACUUUCCAUUUGUAAAAAAAAAAAAAAAAACAAAUGGCAUCUUCUGUCGAAACCGGAGGCUCGUGGUCAACUCAGGAAGAUAUUGCAUUGUGUCAGUAUUAGGUGAACGUUAGUAAUGAUCCUAUCACGGGCAAUGAGAUGAAGUUCCAUCAUAUGUGGAGUAAAAUUCAUGGAGAAUUUUGUCAAAGAUCGGGUCCCAUUCGGACCGAAAUAGCCUUGUCUAGUAGAUGGAAACUUCUGAAUAAAGAGUUAGGGAAAUGGAGAAAUGCCUUGACAAAAACAAGGGAGAACAUUCGAAGCGGUCAAAAUCUAUCCGAUGAGGUAAAAUAUUUAUAAUUGUCAUUUUAAUAAAUUUAAUGUAAUUUUUUUUUAUUGCAUAUUCUAUGUCUUUUUGUUGCAUAAUCUUUUUUUUUUCUUUUUGCAUUUCCAAUUUGUCUAUAUUUUCUUGCAUAAUCAAUUUCAUUCUUGCAUUUCAAAAUAGUUUAUAUUUUCUUGCAUAAUAAUUUUUUUUCUUGCACUUCCAAUCAUUUAUUUUUAAUAGAUCAUACAAGCACAAAUGUGGUUCGGUGCCAUGGGGCAAGGCAAAAAAAGUUUCGUGCAUUUCCAAUGUUGGGAAGUUGUGAAAGAUUGUUCAAGAUUCAAAAUUAUUCCCACCGGUCCAACAGUUUUGUUGAAUGAGACGCCGCUUCACGAUUCACCAUCAACCGAUUCGCCAUUGGACUUCCCAAUGGAAACGGAGUCACCACUCCCACGUCCGCCAAGACCUAUUGGGAGAAAGGCGGCAAAGGCCAAGAGAGGGGGCACUUCAAACAAUGAAUGUAUACAAUUAUUGGAGCAAAUAGCUAAGAACACCUCACUAAGAAUUGAGAGAGACUUGAAAAGAGAUGAAGUGGACAAGGCACGAGAGGAAGCAUUUGUAAUUCAACAGCAGCAGGCACAAGACAAAGACAUGGAUGAUAGAGAGAUGAAAAUCAUGGCCAUGGAUACGAGCCAUAUGUCUCCUGAAACCAAGGCCUAUUGAAAGCAUAGACGAAGAGAUGUGAUGAGAAGAAAACUUUUCCAUGACGAUGAACCUAGCAAUACGGAUUGGUUAAAUGAUGAAAACCAUUAAGUUUUAUUGAAACACCUUUGCCAUAUGUUGUAUUGUUGUAUUGUUGUAUUAUCCUUUAAUUUAUUGUAUUGUUUCCUUUUCAUUAAAUAAAAAAAGUAUUAAAUAAUAUGACUAUUUAUUAAAAACAUUUGAGCAUCAAAAUAAAGAUUAAUUAAAAACAAACCUUAAUUUAUUGCAAACAACACACAAAAUAAAUCAUACAUAAAAGCAUAAUAAUAAUAAAAAAGAUAGAGAUGGUGUAGUUUUAUAGAGGGAUUCAGAAGAUAGAAAUGACACGUGGCACAAUUUUAGAGGAUGAAAAUCUUAUCUGAAAUAUGAGAUUAUAAUUUUUAAAAAAUAUCUGAAAAUCUUAUCUAACAGAGAUAACACUUGGCACAAUUUUAGAGGGUGAAAAUCUUAUCUGAAAUAUGAGAUUAUAUUUUUUUUUUAAAUAUCUGAAAAUCUUAUCUGACAUGGGACACGUGACACAAUUUUAGAGGUGAAAAUGUUAUCUGAAAUAUGAGAUUAUAAUUUUUUUUAAUGAAUAUCCGAAAAUUUUAUCUGGAAUAAGACAUGUGGCAACUAAGAUUCUCAUUCGAAAAUCUUUUCUGAAAAAUAAUGGACAUGUGACAGUAAAAAGUAUUAUCCGAAAAUUUAAUUACAAAAGAUUAUCAAAAUUAAUAGUUUAAAGUAUAAAAAAAUAGGAAAUAAAGUACAAUGAAUAGUAUUUACCUUAGACUUGCCCUAGACUUAACCCUCAUGGGUGGAACCACAAAUGGCAAGGCUGCCACUAUUCAUGUGACUAUUCAUGUGAAUAGUCACAGCCCUUGCUUACCCUUGCCCUAGACUUAGCCCUUAUGGGUGGAAUUGCUGUAAAAAGUUAACAUCAAAAGACCCUUAAAAAGUAUGUGAUCAUUCUCAAUAUGGACCCCCAUAUUUCAAUUUCAUUAUUUUACUCCCACGGUUUUCAAAUUUGCUCAAUUUACUUUCCGUCACAUUAACUGCUAACGUGUCUACUGUGAGACACAGCCACUUAUCAAUCCCCAUCCCAUCUAACAUGUAAUAAAACAAAAACUAAAUAUAUGAUAUUAAAAAAAAAGAAAAAAAAAAGAAGAGGCAUAUAGCCUUCCCCAUCACUCUCACCGACGCACAGUCGCACCACCCGAUCCCCCUCCCUUUCUUCGUCCUCUCUCUCUCUCUCUCUCCCUCUCUCCCUCUCUCCGUCCCUUUCUCCCCCAUCCCAUCUUCUCGAGUUCUCUGAUUCCCCCCCCCCUCUUCGCGAUCUACCUCUCCUUCGAGAGGCUUCUCGAGUCCAGGCCCUGCGAUGCCGAUCAGACCUAGCUCAUCGAUCGCUCUCUCCAAUUGGGCUCUGUGCUCCUCGAGGCUGCUAAUCGUUCUGCGAGAAAACCAGCCUCCAAGCACAACUCUCUCACCUGUACUCUCCCCUCAAACCUCCCUCCAAGCACAAUUUGUAUAUAUUGAUAGGGAUGGGGAGCUGGGAGGAUAGUGGGACGGAGAGAGAGAGGGGGGGACGAAGAGAGGGAGAGUGCUCUGGUGGGGAAGAGCCAGGUGCGCCGCUAUCACGAACACAUUCAGACCACGAGCUGACGCAAGUGGAAAUCAUGCUUCUCUGUUUUUCUAGUUCUGUAGUCGCCGCUAAUCAUGCUGCUUUGAUUUUCCAUUGAUGUUUGCUUUGUUACUCUCAAAAAGUUUCCUUCCUUUAUUUUUUAUUUAUUUCGAUAAUGAAAUUUGAAAUUUGAAUUGUGUGUUGCUUUGUUACUCUCAAUAAAUCUUCCUUCUUUUUCUUUUUUCUUACAGGAAUUGGGUUUUGGUGUUUCACCAACGAGCUGACGCCAGAGAGAGAGGGAUGGGGUUGGUGUGGGUGCGAUUGAGGGGUGAACAAGGGGUGCUGGGUUUGUUGGGCUGAGGAAGGGCUGGGAUUUUUUAAGGUAUUUUUAUUUUAUUUUAUUUUAUCACUUUAUAUAAAUUUUUUUAGGAACUGAUUAGUUAGUGGGCGGAUCCCGAUUGCCCAUAUUGAGAAUAACCCCAAAUGUCUUUUGAUGUUAGCUCAUUUCUAAAUUUGUAGAGUGAGGGAGUGACCACAGUUUUGAUAUAUUGGUGUCUAUUUUUAUUGGAGCUGAUUUUGUUUGCCUCACCUUACCAGUGGGUAUAUUCCUGGUAAAUAAUAUUGCAACUCUUGCGCUUUUAGAAAUUGUGUGUAUAGUUUUAGAAAAUGGGUCAUGUAAUUUUAAUAUAAAAUUGCUACAAACUCUUGUCAACCCUGGAAAGUUCAGUCCAAGUGGACGAGACAUGCUCUCUCUUAUUAAAAAUGCUAUACAUGUACACCAUGCUUUUGUCCUCAAAUUUGGACUCGUUAUACAGUAUAGACUACUUUAUUUAUGUACUUGGCUAAGAGUUCGAUUAUUUUCCUCCCCUUUUCUUAAAUGGAAAUCAUCUCUAGUUCUUUUCACCCCUAACAACAUAUGGAACUGCUGAGUUCAUAACUUUUCUAUUGUUUAUCUUUUAUGCAUAAAAUUAUAUCUUGUUUUUUUACUGGGUAAUUCAAAACUUGGAAACUCCUUCGACGACUUUACUAAAAAGGAUUUAGGUUUUUUUUACUAAAAAGUCAGUAUAGUAUGAAUACCUAUUUGAUACGAUGUAGGUUUUUUUUUUUAAUUUAAAAAUUUAUUGAAAGGAUUUUUAAUUAUUUGUAUUGGCACUAUUAAUUUUGCCACAGAAUUCUCAGAGGUUUAGUAAUUUGCUUUUACAAAUACCAUGAUCGUUUUGGGAAAUCUCUCUUUCUGGAGGCAGAUUCCAGAGCCGUUUAAGGGAAAUUCGUAGUCGAGCUACCGAUGUUCAUGAUAAGGAAAAGGGAAUCAAGAUUACUGAGAAGGAUUGGGAAAAGUUGAAUGUACAAUUGCUUCAUACAACAAUUUUCCUACUGCUGCUGGAUUGGCUUCCUCAGCAGCUGGUUUUGCUUGUCUUGGUAACCGAUAAUACCCUAUUUUGGAUCAUAUUAUUGUUAAUUUGUUAUAUGAUUAGUGCCUUAACUUUGAGAACUCAUGACUGUUAAUAAUGUUACUUGGGUACCGGAUUAAUCAUUCUUUGCCAAUAGAUAGUAGUUAAGCAACGAGCAUAUCAUAGCUAAGCCUCUGUUUCUACUUGCAGUUUUUGCCCUCGCAAAGUUAAUGAAUGCGAAUGAAGAUCACAGCCAGCUUUCUGCUACUGGAAUCAAUCUGAGAUUUUAAUAAGCCAUCGCAAUCUGACUAAGUUUUACAGAAUACUUAACACAAUAGUAAGUGCUGAUAUCGACCCUGAAGAACGUCUCCUUGACAGUAGCUUAAUUGAUUUUGACAGAGCAAGCCUCCUUUAUGCCAUUGGGAAUAAUAAUGCGUCCAUUGAUCAGCCCGCCCACAUUUUCCGAGCCAUUUGCCUGGCUGCAACCCCAGACGACUACUACGAAACUCAUUCCCUGCCUUUUGGGUCGUUGAUCACUAGGUUUGCCAUGGCGUCUAAAGUGCGAAUUGAUCCUACGGAUCAGCUUAAACAACUUAUGCCACCUAUCAACUAGAUGAUGUUUCAUAAUGAUCAGACAGAUGAAACAAGUGAAGAAUCUGUUGUUGGAUUUACUCCUCCUCCUGCACCUGCUUCGGAGCCAAGUCCUCCACAGCUUAAUCAGCCUCCUCUGUCCCAGACAAAAAGCUUUGAGAAGUUUUCUAUAAAGCUGAGAAAGCGCAUGGCCCGACUUGCCAAUGAGGUCGUUAAGCUCACCGGUUGCGUACAUUGGGGCAUCCCAUUGAAAGAGCCAUUUACAGGUCAUUCUAAUGUUGAGCUUGCUUUAGUUUAUAUGUGUUUUUGUCCUUUUCAGCUUUGUUAAACCCUGUCUUCAACUUUCAUUUCUAAUCCAUUGAUUAUCUAUGAGUUGUUAGGCUUUUGUUUCCAUUUGUUUAUUCAGUUGUUCUUCUUUUAUACCCUCUCAUUUGUUUCUGCUCCUCUGUCUUAUGAUUUUCCACUUCCACUUAUCACUCCCUUGUCAUACACACUUGCAGUACAAGAUAAAUAGAAUCUGAAGUUUGCCUUGUUCUGGAUGAUAAAUAGAAUUCUAUUUAGUUAUAUAUUUUCAAAGAUACAAGUUAAAUAAAGACGAUGUAGCGAGCACCAUAAGCUUCAAAAGAAUUUUCCUAGUUCUAGGCUUAAGUAUAUUUUUUAUCUAAAGGACCUCUGAGUUGACUGCAGGAACUGAUUCAGCCUAAUACUGUAAAAGAAUUGUCCCUUGAAUAUCUUUUUAUGUACAGCUGGUAAGAAAAUUUUCGGGUUUUUACUGGUGGAAGGAAAGUAAUAAACUUGAAGUUAGCAACUAGCACUGAAUGCUUCUGUGGUUAGUGAUUUAGUAUUAAAGAGAAGCUCUGUUUCUGAUCAUAUAUGUAAGAUUGAUUUUGAUUGCAUUAAUUAGUAAAAAAGAUAAGCUCUGUUUCAGAUCAUAUAUGUAUUCUUUUAGUCAACUAAUGAGAUGGGGUGGUUAACAUUUAUUUAAGUGUGACUGGAACAGUUUUGAGUGAUGAAUUUUCCUAUUUUCACUAGGGAGCUGCCUUUGAAUUUGAUAUUUUCGGGAGUGAUUCGAUGCUUUUCUCUCGUUUGAAAACUUAACAAAAUUAAAUAUUCACAAUAUUCCCCAUCGUCUGUAUAAUAAAAAUGAAACUGCUUCUACAUGUGAUUAUGAACUCCAACACAUCUUGUGUCCUUGUGGUUGUAAUAGUCAGCAGUUAAUGCACUUCUUUGCUGCUUUAGUGGAUGUUUUUUAUGCUUUACUUUCUCUCUGUUAUUGUGCUGAAGAAAAUAUGGAGGUUAAACAAGAAAAUGAUGAGAAUUUUAUUCCCAACUCACAUACUUCGACACAUCUAUCAACUUCAAUUUCUGGCUUGCAUCCAAAUAAGAAAGCGAAAAAACAUCCAUUGGCACAAGCAAUUGGUGAGGCGGCAGACUCACAAAAGGAGUUUUCGGCAAGUCAAAUGAACCGCAACUCAGAGGAGAGGAUGUACUUGCAGUGGUCUCAAAGAUACCGAACUUCAGUAGAUUGCAAGUUUUGAAGGCCGUACACAUGUUAUUGAAUACUGCUUAUUAGUAAAUCCUGGGUCUAACUUUCUUGAUAAAUGAUGCUGAGUGAGCCAAUUAUUUCUCAGGGGUUUAAACUUUUGCAUAGAGAGACACUUAUCAGCAUUUACUCUCUCUCUCUCUCUCUCUCUCUCAUUAAUCCAGUAUUAGGAGUGAUCUUGCUUUUUAUUCUUUUCAUAUACAAUAUUAUUGAUAUCCUUUUAUGUCCUUUUACACACACUGAGCUUCUUGACAUGUUCUGGGCUUUUAAUCAUGCUUCAAAGACAUACUUUAAAUCCAUUUAUAUAUCUUCUUUAUCUAUUUAUUUCUCUUGUUUGAGAGGAGGUAUUAUUUCUCUUGUUCAUUAUACUAAUGUAAUUUACACGGAAAGGGGUUUGAACUUCGGUGUAAGGGGUAAGCUCACCAUCUUAUCCAAUUAGCCUAACCGCAUUUGCAGAUGUAUACAAAUACAAUGAUAUAGUCCAAACUACUCUAAAUCUAAACUACUAGGGCAUGUUUGGUAGGGUUCACUAGAUAGGACUAUGCUAAAUUGAACCUGAAACCCAUGUUUGGAUAGAAAGGGGACUAAUUUAAAUGGGAUUGUAGAGCCCAACAGUAACAAAAACCCCUCACUCGUUCUCCUUAUACAGAGAAGCUGAAAAUGGGUUCACAAAAUAAGCGCUUCGUUAUAUUGAACACGCGACAACGCCUCUCUCUCUAGUUCUUGACUUCGCCCUCUAUCUAGUUCGCGACUCGACCUCUUCUUUGUUCAACAUCGACUCCUCUUCUUCGAAUCUUGACCCAGGCAAGUUUUUCUGGUCUUUCCCUUUGGAUACCUCUCUUUUCCUUCUUCCACCUCUUUGAUUUUUGCAAUUGUCCUCAACAAUUUUGACUCUGUGCUCUGAAUCUCUCCUUCCUUUUCUCUGUUUUUUGUUAUUCUUUUCUCUAAUUUUCGUAGAAUCCAUAUCUACUGUAGCGACAUAUAUAUAUUUGAUGUUAAUUGACAAUUAAUUUGCAAUGGGUAUUUAAGAAAGCCUAGAAAUUCAGAAUCUUGAGUUUAGAGUAGACUUUUGGCAUGAAUCUUGAGUUUAUUGAACUUACUGGUUCAUGUGGGAUGAUGCAUCUUUGUGGUUUCAGUUUUUAAAUAAGAUGCUCUCCUUUCAUCUUAUUUAAUCUGAAUAAAAAUAAGAUGUUUCUUUUCUGAUGUACGCAAUUCAUACCAGUCUCAUGUGUGACUAUAUUCAAUAGGAUUUGAGACAUGAUGACUAAACCUUCUGAAUAUCUUUCUAUGGCACUUGGUGGCUGGACUGAGGAUUUCUUGUAUUUUCAUGAGUUGUAUUCAUUGGAGACUUUUAAUAGGUACCUUAACAUGUAAAAUGGCUGCAUCUUGCCUACCAUCAUCUACUUUCAGACACCACAUAUAUAAUCUCACAGUUGAGGUGUAAGUUUUGAAGUGGAGCCUCAACUUAGGCUCUCUGUUAGAACGUCUCCUUUAAGUUCUCAUUUUGGGUAAAUGAGAUUCUGUAUUCACUCUAACUGUAUUCAAUUAGAUUAACUAACAUAAGAAUGUCUCUACCCUUUUUUUCUUUCUUUUUUAUAUUUUCCCUAUUUCCCCAUGGUCAUAAUUUACAGGCCUUUGUCUUAACUCUGGCACUACCUAGGUCUGCCAAUUUUCUUUUUUCUUGGUUGGUGAUUUAGUGCUAAAAGAUUACACAGAGGAAGAUUAGUAUUUGUUUUAUGCUUGCUGUUGAGUUUCUUUUGUAGCUAUGAGGUUGCCAUUUCUUAUAAAAUUUUUGCCAAAAAGUCAUACUAGGUUACCAUUUGGAUAGAAGGUACAUCAAAUCUUGAUUUGGGCCUUUUUGUUUGCUCAUGUCAUUGUGGUAAUGUUAUAGGUAGCUGGUGUGAAAUUAAAAAGAAAAAAACAGAGUUUGCAUUGCUAUUUUAUUAUUCAGCAUUCCAUCAGUUGUUUUAUGCUUGCUGUGGAGUUUCUUUUGUAGCUAUGGGGUUGCCAUUUCUUAUAAAAAUUUUGCCAAAGGUUACCAUUUGGAUAGAAGGUACAGCAAAUCUUGAUUUGGGCCUUUUUGUUUGCUCAUGUCAUUGUGGUAAUAUUAUAGGUAGAUAGAAUCUAACAAUUCUUUACAGUUGACUCUGGUGUGAAAUUAAAAAGAAAAAAAACACAGUUUGCAUUGCUAUUUUAUUGUUCAGCAUUCCAUCAGUGAUGGGCAGCUUGCAACUUUCUUUUAGUGAUUGGCAUGGGCAAAGUCCUUCUAAUGUCCUCUCACCACAUGUGGACAUUAUACCAGUAGAGCAAUUUCUCCUUUAUAUGAGAUAGAGAGACCAAUUACUCAAAAAUGAAUAAAAUACCAACAACAAAUUAAAGAAAACAGAGCAUCUGACACUGUUGGCCAUGUCAAAGCAAAGUCAUGCUAUGUUUUUUCUUUUUGUUUGGAGAAAGAUAUGUAGUUUUGGAGUUUGCAAUUGUGACAAAUCCCCUGUGAUUGAUUGUAUCUGUCAUUUGACAGAGCAAUUUGCGUCCUACAUGAGUAUCAAUUGAUUUUGGUCUCUCAAAUAAGAAAAUGCAAUAAAUAACAUGGUGUUCAUUAGCAGCAGCAGCAUCUUUUGGCCAAAAGUGAAAUAAUUCUGCGAUUUUUUUCUUCAUAUUUGUUGUGGUAUUAGGCACACGUUGGUUGAUAAUUUGGUCCAUUUGGGGCAAAUUUUCCAUACUUUGCAAUGGUAUUAAUUAUGGCUUUGUAGUAAUUGUUCUGUUUCAUAGAAACAUAUGAAACUGUUCGUUUUCAAUUUUUGGGGUUAUUUCACUUUCAAUAGAAUUGGUUAAGUGCAAUAAUUCUUUUCUUUUUUGAUUAAUAGAUAUGGAUCAUGCUUAGAAACAAAGUUACGCUUUUUUGGCAGAUUCCAAUUAUUGAUUAUGGUAUUAUUUUAUUUGUGCUGAUUAUUCUUAGGAAAGGAAAAUAAAGGUAACAGUCAAAACUUCGAACAAGGAAGAAAGGGACUAGGCGGUCAUGGUCCACAAAAUACAUCUAUAUUCAUGUCUUUGGAUGAUGAUAUCAAGAAAGUGUUUGUUGAGCAGUUGCUUAGUGACAAUGCUUGAGGACAUGGCCUAGCUAAAUUUAAUGCAUCUAUCUUUUUGGAAACACCAAAAAUGAUGCAUUGAUAAGAUUGGCUUCAUUUUGGAAACACCACAAAUUGUAUAACAUAUUGCUAGCAUUAAAGCCAAAUGGUUCAUGGUUGUGAGGUUUAUUAGUUCAUUUUGAAAUUGUGGAUGUUUAUUUGUAUGUAUUAAUGGUAGAAUUGUGUGUAGUGAACUGGACUUCUAAUUUCUGAGUAAUGUAGAUGACUUUGGCAUAUAUGAAGAAUUUCUAACUUUUGCAUAUAUGAAAUGUAUAUGUCAAUUUGGUUUGGAGAAAAAGAAAUGUAUAUGACAAUUUGGUAAUUCUAAUAACAAAAAAAACUUACAUUUAAUUAUUUAAAAAUAUUAUUUUUAAAUAUAAAAUAAUUAUUUUUUAGUCCUACAUAGCACCAAACAUAGGUCUUCGCUAUUUUUACAAUCCAGCUUUUUAGUCCGACACAGCACCAAACGUAUGUCAGUACUUAAUCCAGCUUAGUCCAAUCUGAGCUAAUCCAAGAUAAUCCUAGGAUUUAGUCCAGUCCAUGACAGUCCGCCGUACCAAACGACCCCCUAUAUUACUUUCCUUCUAUAGUCAAUAUAUAUGACUUUUGCCCUUCAAACUAAUUAUGUCUUACCUACAAUCCAUUAUUUUAUCUACUAUAUUACUUUCCUUCUAUAGUCAAUAUAUAUGACUUUUGCCCUUCAAACUAAUUAUGUCUUACCUACAAUCCAUUAUUUUAUUUUAUUUAUAAAUAAAACCCAAUGAUUGGAUCCGACUCAUCAAUUUACCUAAUUAAAUUUAAAAUUUUGAUUUAUUGUACUUUUUUUAGAUUAAAAAUAAUAAUUAUGGAUAAUUAAUCUACCUAUGCAAUCUCGGCAAAUUCUUAUACCUACAAAAUAUAGGUAAAUUGGUACCCUUUUUUAAUUUUAUAAAUAACGUGCCUAUUUUUUCAUAACUAAUGUACCUAUUUAUUUUAUAGAACUAAUUCAAUAGCAACGUUUUUUUAAAAUAUAGAAAUAAUGUACCUAUUUUCUUAUAAUUAAUGUACCUUUUUUUCUUUAAAAAUAUUUACGUAUUCAGAAUCUCGCCCCUAUUCUGACUGAGAAUUGCUCCUCAAUCAAUCAAUAUGCAUCUCACCACCCAAGCUCUCUUUCUUCACUGGGACCGUGUUUUGUUCUUUAUUUAUUUUUAUUUUUUUUUCAUUUUAGUUGUUGUUUAAUUUUUAAACUUGUGUUUUUUAAUAACCAUUAUAUUAUCAUUUAUAUCCAAGGGCGAAUGACCACAAAUUCCUUGGACCACAGGAGUUCAGAAGAACGGGACCGAGUAAUUCAUAUACUAAUCAUUUAUCGAGCAACAAAACAAAUCAAAUCAAAGAAUCAGAAUGCAAAAUGAAGGAAGCUGCUCCGAAACUCUAUGAUCAGAUAUCCAACACUAAAUCUACUUAAGUGUUUCGUGAUCAUCACUAUAAUAAGAGAAACUUUCGUGUGUAAUUGUAAGACCCCAUGUUUAACCUAAAUUAUAGGGGCAUUUCAAAAUAGACUUGGUCAAUAACCAAACUCUCAUAUUAUAGUUGUUGAAUAAAAACCCAUUAUUCAUUUAUUAGUAUCAAUAAAUAUAUAGGCAUUAUAUUAAUAUUAGGUUGAGUAGAGAUAUUUCCACAUGUUUCACUUAAGUCAAGUUCACAUUUGCAAAAAGAUAUUUGUAACUUGUGCCCAGGGGAUGGGAUGCAAAGCCAUUGAUUGAGUGGACACGGGAAGGCACCUUACCAAGUCAAGUCAAGUCAAUACCUGCAAGUCAGUUGGAGCACGCGUUGAAGGGCACCAUAUCAAGUCACAAGUCUUCAUUUAUCUUUUUCCACAUAGUGACAUGAAUUAAAGUGGUGAGUCUCUCUUCCUUUUGUUCACCCGUGUCCUUCAUAUUCACUUUUCAGUCUUUCAUUUGAAAACACUACAAUAGCACACUUUCCAAAGAGAUUCCCAAGCAGCUUAUUGGCCUUUCGAGUUCGGGGAAAUUAGCAAGUGGAAAAAUAAUUUUCCGGAGCUUUGUCUCUACGACAAGUUGGCUUUCCAAAAAAUCGAAAAGACUUUACAGUCUUUUUGUGUGAGUCAGUCAUCAUGAGUUUGCAUACGAAGACUUCAAAGUCUCCUUGAUGAUAGUCGUCCACAGCAAGCUCCCAACGUUAUAAAUUACUAAGAUGGACAAAUGCUCAAUAAAAUUUAAUUAGGAUAAUUAGUUGAUUUAAGGAAUAUCUCUUUUUCUGGUGUCAUUUUUUAUUGACCGGAGAAAUAUGUGUAUCCGCAUAUCCUACAUUGAUUGUCUUAGUAAUUUCCUUUGCAUCUAAAAAAAAUUUAUUUAACCCUAAAAAAAAAAUAUUACUCCAUCUUGAAAUGUUUCCCCUUAACCUUUGCCACACUAAUCACAAAGUAUACUAGUAAAUGUUUCAAACCACGUAGGAUAAUUUUUUGGGAGAUUCACUAUUAUACCCAAUAUAAGAGUUCAAAUUUUUUUUUUAAAAAAAACCUAUAUGAAAUGGGCUUUAGAACACACCCAAAACCCAUUUACAACAUAACAAAAAAGCUUUUAACUUCUUUUAAAGUACAAAACUGUCAUUGAUUUCUUAAAACAAACUCAACCCAAAAACCUCAUAAAAAAGCUUAAAACACUCAAUAGGGUAUCAAAGUAAUUUAAUAAUCAAAAUUAAAUUAAAUAGAUCCGGCUGUCAUUUUUUGAGUUUAUUUACAAAAAUUAAAUGGUGUGGGGUUAAUUUAUAAUUUUAGUGCUAAGAAUGGGUAAAUAUUUAUAAUUUUUUCAAGCAUUAUUGUAGAGAUAGCAAUAUAGUGCUAUUCCCGUUACAAAAAAAUAUUUUUCCUUUUGAAUGAUACAUUCAUAUGUAUUUGAAAUUGAACCUACAUACACAGGGUGGUUGUCCACAUGGCAUGGUAUGAGAGCAUCAUUGAGCUAUGUCACUAUUCAGCAAAACAGUAUGUUGUGUCACCGAGCGUACACAAUUCUUUUUAUAUUAAAAAAUUAACCAAAAUUUUAAAAAUAGUAUUUUUAUUUUAUUGAAAUUAAAAAAUAGUAGUAUGAACACUACAUCUAUCAUCCUCCUUUUUCCAACAAAAGAAAUCUUAGUAGAUCUUUCUCUGCAAACUCUUCAUCAUUUCUAACUAGUCUAAUCGAACAGUCAACACCUACUUGACGUGUGGUUGUGGAGACUUAAAAGCCUUUGAAAAUUUUACUCCUUUAUAUGGUUUUGUCUUAUAUGAAUGUGUGGCACUGUUUUAGCUAAACCAUGUUUUUCUUUGUAAAAGUUUUCUUCCUUUUUUCCUAUAUAUAUAGUUAGUGUGUAAUUAUAAGACCCUAUAUAAUAUUAACCUAAAUUAUGGGGGCAUUUCAAAAUUGACUUGGUCAAUAACCAAAGUGUUUUGAAAAGCUCUCGUAUUAUAGUUGUUGAAUUAAAACCCAAUUUUCAUUUAUUAGUAUCAAUAAAUAUAUAGGUAUUAUAUUAAUAUUGGGUUGGCAAGAGAUAUUUCCAUAUGUUUCACUUAAGUCAACCUCACAUUUGCAAGAAGAUAUUUAUAACUUGUGCCCGGGGGAGGGAUGCAAAACCAAUGGUUGAGUGGACACUGGAAGGCACCUUACCAAGUCAAGUCAAGUCAAUAUCUGCAAGUCAGUUGGAGUACGCGUUGGACGGCAAAUCACCAUAUGCAGUUUAUGUCACAAGUCUUCAAUCUCAUAUAUUAAUUUCUCCAAUGUUCAUUAAUUUACUACUUGUUUACUUGGACUACUGACAAAUUUUUCUUCAAAUAUCUUUUUCCACAUAUCGACUUGAAUUAAAGUGAUGAGUCUCUCUUCCUUUUGUUCACCCGUGUCCAUAUUCACUUUUCAAUCUUUCAUUUGAAAACACUACAAUGGCACACUUUCCAAAGAGAUUCCCAAGCAGCUUAUUGGCCUUCCAAGUUUGGGGAAAUUAGCGAGUGGAAAAAAAAUUUCCGAAGCUUUGUUUCUUCGACCAGUUGGCUUUUCAAAGAAAGAAAAAACAUAAAAAUGGUAAAAUAAAGUAAUUGAGCAAUUAAAAAAGCAAAAAGAAAAAAAAAAGGAAUUACCGUUUGUUGACGUUUGAGUUAAAUGUGUAUGUGCAACGACUUAAAACUCUAGUUUACACUCUUUGUGGAACCAAAAAAUUGAAAAGGCUUACCAGUCUUUGUGUGUGUCAGUCAUCAUGAGUUUGCAUACGAAGACUUCAAUGUCUACUUGAAGAUAGCUGUCCACAGCAAGCUCCCUACCCAAAGUUACAAAUUACUAAGACGGACCAAUGCUCAAUAUGACAGGACCCACCCUGAAUUUCUCGGAACUUGAGACGAAUCCUGUGAAAAACUAGUACAUCCCUCCAAUGUCAUGCCCACUUACCAAAACUAUAGCCUCUUUUCCAAAUUAAGGAAAAAAGGUACGAGACUUUUUGCCAAAAUUUCGGCAGAGUCUCCCCUGUAAAUUGGACUUUCUCCAAAUUUUUUUAACCUAUUAAAAAUACAAUUAACAUCCACAACUAGUAGCAUGCACAACUAGUAGCAUGCACAAUUUAACCUUUAAGCAGUUUACGAACUAGGCCUCUGGCCUUUAACAAUUCAGUCAGUUGGGGCACGCGUUGGAAGACAAAUCACCACAUUAAGUCUAAGUCAAUAGUUGCGUUGAAAGGCAAAUCACCAUAUCAAGUCGAAGUCACAAGUCUUCGCGAUCUCAUCCAUUAAUUUCCCCAAUAUUCAUUGAUUUAUUACAUGUUUACUUGGACCACUGACAAUUUUUUCUUCCAUUAUCUUUUUCCACAUAGUAACAUGAAUAAGAGUUGGUUGUACCUUGUACAUUUUUUUUCUCCUUCUUUUUUGAAAUUUGGUAUAGUCCAGUUCUGAUGACAUAAGUGAAAUUGAACCUAUAUCUAAGAGCUCCUUUCAAAGAAAAAACAUAAAAAUGGUAAAAUAAUGUAAUUGAGCAAUUAAAAAAGCAAAAGGGAAAAAAAAGGAAUUACCAUUUGUUGACGUUUGAGUUAAAUGCGAAUGUGCGAAGACUUAAAAGUCUAGUUUCCACUCAAGUAUGUGGACUUAAUAGUCUUUUUGUGGAACCAGAAAAUUGAAAAGACUUUACAAUCUUUUUGUGUGAGUCAAUCAUCAUGAGUUUGCAUACGAAGACUUCAAAGUCUACUUGAAGAUAGGUCCACAGCAAGCUCCUUGCCCAACGUUACAAAUUACUAAGAUGGACCAAUGCUAAAUAGGAUUUAAUUACGAUAAUUAGUUUAUUUAAGGAAUACCUCUUUUUCACGUGUUAUUUUUUUAUUGACCGGUGAAAUAUGUGUUUCCAUAGAUCCCGCAUUGAUUGUCCUAGUAAUUUCCUUUGCAUCUAAAGAAAAUGUAUUUAACCCUAAAAAAAAUGUUACUCCAUCUUGAGACGUUUCCCCUUAAACUUGUUUGCCACACUAAUCACAAGGUAUACUAGUAAAUGUUUCAAACCACCUAGGAUAAUGUUUUCAAGCAUUAGGAGAUAGCAAAAUAAUGUUAUUCAUGUUAUAAGAAAUAUUUUUCCUUUUUGAAUGAUACAUUCAAAUGUAUUUGAAAUGGAAUCUACAUAUACGGGGUGGUUGUUCACAUGGCAUGGUAUGAGAGCAUCAUUGAGCUAUGUCACUAUACAACAAAACAGUAUGCUAUGUCACCCAAUGUACUCAAUUCUUUUUAUAUUAAAAAAUUAACCAAAAUUUUAAAAAUAGUACUUUUAUUUUAUCGAAAUUAAAAAAUAGUACUUGUAUUCCUGCAUCUUACUUUUUAACUCAUGCAUCAUAAUUAAUUUGGAAUCUAAAGUACUUAAUUUAAUUACCUCCAUAAUAAAGAGAUUCGAAUCUAAAGUGUUGAUGCUCAAAAUGGCCCGGCCAAUAUUGAGUCCAACUUAGUGAUUAGAUGUGCUGAGUCUUCAGCAGAGAAGAGGGCUGAGGCCCUUGGUGAAAUGGGUUGGUGAGAGACCUGUAGAAGGUAAAAAGAGGAGAAGCAAUCGUCAAGCUUCGGACACCGGUGUGGUGCCGGCCGAAGGCUCUCCGAUGCCUAAGUCAAUUACAAGUAGUAAUUCUGGCAGAGUAACAGUAAAAGUGGGAGAGUAGUUCUCUGUUUUACUUGGGUACUGUUCCCUAUUUAUAGGGAAGUGAAAGUGGGAGCUUUGCACAAAGUUCCAAUGUGGGACUUUGUGCAAGCCGUUGUGGUGACGACACGUGUCCUGGAGAUUAGGUUUGGCAGCUGAGAGCUUCGGCAGGUGUCUGGCACCUCGGAAGUGUGUCUUCCUUCGGCAUGGGAGAAGGCGUGGCUGCCUUGGUGCUAGUCGCUUUGAUGCUGGGUCUGCUCGGUUCAUUAUGGUGUAAACAGUAGUCCCCCAAGUUCGCGGUCGAGAAGUAACUUCUGGGUUGGGAACUUGUGAGUUUUUGUAAUUGUAACCGAGCAUUCCAGCUUCAUUGGGAGUCGCAGGGCACUCCCUAGUCCCCCAAGUUGGCAAGCUAGGAGUUGCGUCAACACAUGGUAGCUGGGUACCUGGGUACUUGGGCAUGUUGCAGAUAGGAUGGGAGCUGGGUCCCUAGGGGAGCCAGACCUUCGAGGGAGCCGGGUACUUUGAAAAUUUUGGAGACUCCAAUUCUUUCAUGGCUCCUGCCGUGCGGCAAGGGUCUAGCUCACUUUUUUUUUUUUUUGGGAAUGGCCGGGCCAUUUGGGAUUUUUGGACCUCCCCACAAAGCCUCCAUGGCCCUUGCCGUUCGGCAAGGGUCUAAAUUAUUAUUAUUAUUUUUUUUUUUUUUUUUGCAAAUUUUUUUUUUUUUUUUUUUGGGAAUGGGAGCUAGGCCAUUUUGGAUUGGGCCUUCCACAGCUUCUCCAUGGCCCUUGCCGUUCAGCAAGGGUGUAGCCAUUUUUUUUUGUUUUGGAUGGCUUGGGAGCUAGGCCUUCAAGAGAGCCGGGUCGUUUUGAAAAUUUUCGACUCUCCAAAAUGUCUCCAUGGCCCUUGCCGUUCGGCAGGGGUCUAGCUAUUUUUUGGAUUGGGAGCUAGGCCGUGUUGAGAGAGAUUGAAGGCUUAGCUUGGAUUGGGCCUUCGGCAAGUAAGAAAGGCUUGAGUUUGGCCAAAGUGGGCUUCGGCAUGUAAGAAGGCUAGGGUUUGGCCAAAGUGGGCUUCGGCAUGUAAGAAGGCUAGGGUUUUGAUAGGGGUAUAAAAAUGGGAUGAUGGUGAUGCCGUUCGGCAAGGAUCCAUUCGGCAGGUUGAGGUAGAACAAAAUUUUUUUUGAAAUCCAAACUUGCCGUUCGGCAAGUUCUUGGAGUCCCGGUCUUGGAGUCACGGCUGUGGAGUUGCUGUCCGAGGGCUCUGCAGGUGGCUGAGCUUCGGCAGGGCAGCUGGAGUUCUUGGGGGCUGAGCUUCGGCGGCAGCACGGGGGUUGUAGAACCUUCGGCAGGGUCUGGUCGAGGUGCAGUUGAGGUGCUGCGGAGAUCGAAGUGGAGCUGCGACUGAUCUUGCCGUUCGGACGAAGGGGCUGGGCAGUUGUCUAGGCAGGCUGUGCGGCGCAGCAGCUUCGGCAAGGGCUUUGCCGAUAAGACAGCUGCUGGACAAGUGGAUUGGGUGCUGGCCGAGGGGGCUGGGAAGUUGAUUCGGCAGGCGGCAGCGAGGCUGUGCUGUCCGAGGAGGUUGAAGAGCUUCCGACUGGGCUUGCCGUUCGGCAAGGGACUUGGCAGCGGCCAAGGUGUCCAGCGGUUGGAGGCUUCGGCAGGGUUUCGUCGCGGCAGCUGGUUCUGCCAGCUGGGAGAGGUGCUUGGCCAGGUCGUGUGCUUCGGUAUGUCCUCCUUUCCCUCUGAUUUCAUUCUUGCAUAGCCCUUGCCGUUCGGCAAGGGUGCCCUGAGCUGAUUUUUAUUUUUAUUGAUCGUUGUGUUUGAUCAAAGGUGAUAGGCCCGAGCAAAAUUGGAGCUAGGCCAUUGGCACGAGCGCGGCCAAAAAUAACUUGGCUGAAAAAGUAGCUGGGCCGAAAAUAGUUGGGUGUGGAGAGUAUUUUGACCGAAAAGGUGAGUCCCCCCUUUGUUGUUUCUCGGGCCUUGCCGUUCGGCAAGCCCAUUUAUAUUAUGUGGUGGAAUUGGCUUGGGUGUCUUGAUCAAAUUUGGGCCUAGCCUUGUAGUAGGUUUGGGCUUAUGGAGUAGGCUAGCAAACUUGAAAUUUGGGACUCCAUUUUGUUUUUGCACGGGCCUUGCCGUUCGGCAAGGCCCCUAUUUCCCUCAAAAUUUUUGUGUUGGUUAUUGUGUAGUUUGAAAAUUGAAUUCAAAUGUACCUUUAGGAGGGAAUAUGAAAGGGUACUAGGGUUUGCUCGUGAAAUUGAGGCGUGGUACCCUUAGUUGGCUAUAAAAAGGAACUUGGGUGGUGAAGGCAUCACACUUGGCUUGAGUUGAGAAAAAUUGUGAGAAUUUUGAGGAGGAGGAGAAGAGAUUUCCGGCGAAGGUUUUGUGGUGGUGCUUGUGGCUGAGGUGAUUUCCGGGGACUUGUACGUGGUGGUACGAACAAGGUUAGACCUUAUUUCGCUUGAACUUUUGAAUUGAAAUGUCUUGUUUUGCAUGAACAUGUUGAAGGUUAGGAAGAACACAUUGAACAUGAGCAUGAACAUGAUGAACAUGUUGAACAUAUGUAUGAACAUGUAGAAUUCUUGCCUGGCAUGAAGAUUUGGCAAAUUGUUGUUGUUGUGGUUCGAUCCUCUCUGCAUGUGCAUUUAGUUCCUUCUCUUGUUUUUCCAUACUUGUAGAUGUCUGAAAGUUCUGAUAGGGAAAGUCUUGACCCCCCUGCCUUCGGCGGGGAUGAUACUGAGAGUCAAGAGCCGAGUCAAUAUAUAUGUUCUGAAGAGGAAAGUUCAGAGACAGAGGGUAUGGUGGAAGGAACCAUAGAAAGUAGGAUGAUAGGGCCUGGGGGUGAGAGGGCUGAGCCAUCGGGAGACUCUGGGUCGGCUGCAUAUAGGGAGAUGCAGAGAAAUUAUAUAGAGUUAGAGGCUAUAGCAAAUCGGGUUCUAGCCUUGCCUCAGACGCAAGAAGUGGGUUCGAGCAACCAGGCAUCACCAUCAGGGUCUGUGGGUAUAGCCGUGGCUUCGGUGUCAGAGGGAUUAGACAUCCGGGUUGGUGUCCCGUUGCCGAGGCGGAAUACACUUACAGAAGCGAAAUUGGCCCAGCUACGAACAGAUUUUUGUGUGCCAGCCUAUGUGGGCUUGAGGUUACCCACGGAGGUUGAUGUAGUCAGAUAUCCUUCGGAUGGCUCCGUGAUGAUUUUUACAGAUAUGUAUCGGCAUGGCUUCAGACUACCGUUUCAUCCGUGGGUUCAGAUGAUGUUGGCCAAGUUGGGGUAUGCACCGGGGCAGUAUAAUCCCAACUUUUGGAUUCUUCUUCAUGGGGUGUAUAUCGCCUGGUGGUUGGCUGGGUUAGGGGAGCCAACGUUUGAGCAGUUCAUGUACCUGUACUCCAUUUCGAAGCAACAGGGGAAUUUUGGCUGGGUACAGGCCAAUUGCCGAAAGGCGAAGGAGAGGGGCUAUUUUAUUGGACACAAGCCCACAACGCAAAAGUCCUGGAGGAACAGGUGGUGCUUGGCCUAUGGGGACUGGGAAUGUCCUCCAGGGAAGAGCGUUGUCCAGCACAUUCCUACCCACUUCCAGUCUAUAGGUCCUUGCCCCAUCCCUUAAGAUUGUCAAAUGCCUGAUUGUGUUGUUUUGGCUCCUAUUUUUGGUUCUGUACUUCCUUUGUGCCAGUGUAAAUGGCUAAGUAGUUUCUAACUCUUGAUGCAGGUUCAGUGAAGUGGGGCCCUAUCUCCAAGGAGCAAGAAGACGAAGUUGAGUGGGUGAGGGCGCAGCUAUCAGAGACUGAGCGUGAGUGCGGGAACCUAGUCACGCAGAAGAAUUUGUUUGAGUCCGGACUGCUGCAAGGAAGUAAGUACCUGGGUUAUCUUUUUGUUGUGUGCUAAGCCUGUUGUAAGUUUGAGUAAUAGAGUUGCUUUGUUUGUUUUGACAGUGGCUGGCAUCAUAAGGGGGAGCACGAAGGUGGCCGUAGACAUUGAUGAGGCCGAGAUGCAGAAGCGGCUGAGGGAGUCUCGGGCCAAGAAAGCUGAGAAAAUUGCUGGGAAACGACCCAGGGAUGAUGAUGAGGGUCGGGUCGCGGACGUGCUGGGGAAGAGGAAGGCUUUGGAGGAGGCUCAUCAGCAUGUGAUGGGGUCAGGGCCGAGGCUUCCGCCCUUUGAUCUGCAGGCACCGCCGAAGCUACCCUUCGGCAUGGAGGAUGUGUUCGCUGAAGGGGUAGAGAAGGUAGACUUCGGCAGGCUACGCCAGCAGAAGAAGGAGGUCAACCUGGCUAUGCACCGGCAGGAGGUGCCCUUAGUGAAAGUCUUCCUGGAAGGCGUGAAGAGCGACCCUGAGGCUCUGGCGAGGACUCCAGCUGCUUCCUUCAUUGACCGGGCCCAAAAGACGAUCCUCACCUCUGCCUAUGUAAGUGUUUAGGCCAUUUUUGAAUGUAUUUGUGUUGGAUUAUUUGUGUGGAUUGACUAACAUGGUUUUGGUUUUGCAGGCCUUUGGCGAGAUGUACGUCAGCAUGGCCAAGGCUGACAAGGAGAUCCAGAGGCUGAAGAGGCGGGAUGAGCUAGCCAAGAGCAAAAUGGCAGAGGCGCAGGAGGCCAUCCGAGAGAAGAACACCUUGCUGGUUCAGAAGGCGGCCCUGGCCAAGGAGGUGGAGGAGCUGAAGAGAUCUAGGGCCGAGGAGGUGGCUGCUGCCCGAGCCGAGGCGAUUGAGUCCUUCCGAUCCUCAGAGGAGCUGAAGAGCUAUAUCAUGGACCGACUGGUUGAUGAGCAGCUUCGCUGGGAAGAUAGGUUGGUUAGGUUCAACCCCUCACUGGAGAUUAACUUUGACACCAGUGGCGAGCCUCCUGCACAGACCCCUCCUGCUGAUGCUAGCGCCCCGACACGAGAGGCUGAGCCAGCCACUGAGGAUGCUCCUUCGACCGAGUCCUGAAGGCGUUGCCUUCGUGAUGUGUUAUAGCUAUUUUGUACUCUAGUGAUUGUGUUUGAACACUUGUUUGUUUUGUUUACUUUGGUUAUGUAUGAACAUUUGUCCUUGCCUGGAGCAAGGCUGUUUUUAUUUAUGAUAUGAACUUAGCUUGAUAUCAAUUGUGUUAACAAUGAUAACAAUGUGAGUUCAUGAGAAUGAGCCUGAGUCAGGCAUUUUAUUGAAAUAGAUGCCGAAAGGCAGAAGGUACAAGUGGUCUAGGGUCUAGAUACCUUACGUCUAACUUACAGUAAAUAAUCAAGACCAAAGUAUUAUCCUAGGGUCUAGAUAUGUUUACUUGUAAUAGUACUUGAGGUGGUCAGCAUUCCACGGGUGAGGCAGCGUCUUGCCUGAGGAAUCACGAAGCUGAUAAGUGCCGGGGCAGCAGAUUUUGAUAAUCUCAUAAGGACCUUCCCAUGUAGGGCCGAGGGUACCCUCGUUGGGAUUUUUGGUAGCCAAGGAAACCUUGCGCAUGACCCAGUCCCCCAUUUUGAAAGCACGGGGCUUGACUCGGGAGUCAUAGUAUUUGGCGAUGCGUUGCUUGUACGCGGCAUUGCGCAUGCUUGAUUGGUCCCGGAGUUCGUCAAUGAAGUCGAGGUUGAGGGCCAACUGCUCGUCAUUGGCCGUGGCAUCGUAAGUGGAGGUUCGGUAUGUGGGCUGGCCAAUCUCUACCGGAGCCACGGCCUCGGUUCCAAAUGAUAGGGAGAACGGCGUUUCACCCGUGGAUGUGCGGAAGGUGUUGCGGUAGGACCAGAGUACUUCUGGGAGUAGUUCUGGCCAGCAGCCCUUGGCUUUGUCAAGUUUUGUCUUGAGGGUCUUCUUGAUAAUUUUGUUCACGGUUUCGACCUGGCCAUUGGACUGAGGAUGGGCUGGGGAGGCGAAACACAGACGAAUCUUGAGGUUCGAACAAAAUUGUUUGAAUUUGGCGUUGUCAAAUUGCCGGCCAUUGUCGGUGAUGAUGGAGUUGGGGAUGCCGAAGCGACAUACAAUGUUUUGCCACACAAAGGAUUCGAUGCGAGCCGCAGUGAUGGUGGCCAAGGCCUCGGCCUCAGCCCACUUGGUGAAGUAGUCUACGGCCACAACAGCAUACUUGACUUGGCCCUUGCCCUCUGGCAUCGGUCCGAUGAGAUCCAGUCCCCAUUGGGCAAAUGGCCAAGGACUGACCAUGGCCGUCAGUGGUUCUGCCGGGAGUUGUGGAAUGUUGGCGAAUCUCUGACAUUUGUCGCAUUUUUGGGUGAAGGCCUGGGCGUCAGUGUGGAGUGAAGGCCAGAAAUAUCCUUGGCGGAUUGCCUUAUGAGCUAACGAGCGUGCGCCCGAGUGGUUGCCGCAGAUGCCUUCAUGGAUUUCUCGGAGGACAUAGUGACCCUCCUCUGGAGUCAGGCAUCGGAGGUAAGGAAGGCUGAAACCCCGCUUGUAUAAGGAGCCAUUAAUGAUCAGGUAACGGGCAGAGCGAUGGCGAACGCGUCGUGCUUCUGCCGGAUUAGCCGGUAGUGUUUGGUUUUGUAAGAAUUGGAGGAUGGGGUCCAUCCAUGUAGGGCUGUGAUCAAUAGUGCAGAUGAGUGGGGCUUGUGUGCUGGGCUGGGCCAAAAACUCGAUGUGGAUGUGGCGACCCAGUCCUUGCUCCAAGGCUGAUGCCAACCUGGCUAGUGCAUCGGCAUGGCUAUUCUCGGAGCGCGGCACCUGCCUGAUAGAGUGGGCUUGGAAGUUUGCCAGCAAGUGCCGAGCUUGCUGGAGGUAGGCCGUCAUAGAGGCAUCCUUAGCCGUGAAGUCCUGGUUGACCUGGUGGACCACAAGUUGUGAAUCGCUGAAUAUCUGAAUUUGCCUGGCGUCCAUCUCUUUGGCUAAUCGAAGACCAGCUAAGAGUGCUUCAUAUUCGGCCUCAUUGUUGGAGGCUUGGAAUUUGAAGCGAAGGGCGUACUCGAGGGCAACCUUGUCUGGGGAGAUGAGAACGAGGCCGGCCCCACAGCCCUGGGCAUUAGAAGAGCCGUCUACGAAUAAGGUCCACAGGGGCUGGGUUAGGUCGAGAUUGCCUUCGGUGGGGGUUUGGUCCUGGCUGGGAGGGGGGUUGGGUUCGAUUAUGAGCUGGGUAGCUGCGGAAGCUUGGGGAUCCGUGAAUUCGGAUAGGAAGUCAGCAAUGGCCUGGCCCCUCAUAGCCGGGCGGGGUUUGUAGUGAAUAUCAAACUCGCCCAGUUCAAUGGCCCAUUUGACCAGCCUCCCAGAGGUUUCUGGGUUCUGCAACACCUGUCGGAGCGGGUGGUUGGUUAAGACAUGGAUGGUGUGAGCUUGGAAAUAUGGUCGGAGGCGUCUUGCCGAGACGACCAGGGCGAAUGCCAAUUUUUCGAUGUCCGGGUAACGAACUUCGGCAUCUUGCAAUGCUUUACUAACAUAAUGCACUGGGUGCUCCGCGUGAUCUUUUGAUCGGAUAAGCACAGAGCUAACAGCCGAAGCUGAGAUGGAGAGAUAAAUCACGAGGAUGUCUCCGUGCUCAGGGGUUGACAAUAAAGGGGCCCGACCCAUAUACUCCUUCAGCUCGCUGAAAGCCGUGUCACAUUCAGCAGUCCAGGUCAUGUUUCUUUUGGUGCCUUUAAGGGCCUUGAAGAAUGGGGCGCAACGGUCAGUGGCUUUGGAGAUAAAUCUGGUCAGGGCUGCGACACGCCCUGUAAGGCUUUGGAUAUCCUUGGCCGUCUUAGGUAUUGUCAUAUCUAAGAUGGCCUGGAUCUUUUCUGGAUUGGCCUCAAUGCCCCUCUGGCUGAUCAUGAAGCCAAGGAAUUUUCCGGAAGCCACCCCGAAUGCACAUUUGGUGGGGUUAAGCCUCAUUUUGUAUUGCUUCAGAAUGGUGAACAUGGCAGAGAGGUUGGGGAUGUGCUGGUCAGCCGUGCGACUCUUGACUAGCAUGUCAUCGACAUAGACCUCCAUGGUAUUGCCAAUCAGGGGGGCAAAGAGCUGAUUCACCAGACGCUGAUAAGUGGCCCGGCGUUUUUGAGGCCGAAGGGCAUCACCUUAUAGCAGUAGAGGCCGCGGUCCGUAAUGAAAGAGGUGUGUGCCUGAUCUUCGGGGUGCAUGAAGAUCUGGUUGUAACCUGAAUAAGCAUCCAUGAAGCUAAGGAGGGCGUGGCCGGCUGUGGCGUCGACUAGCUGGUCAAUGCGGGGUAGCGGGAAGCUGUCCUUUGGGCAUGCCCGAUUAAGGUUGGUGUAGUCGACACACAUGCGCCAGCCCUUUCUUGGCUUGCGGACCAUCACGACAUUGGCCAGCCAUGUGGGAUAGUCAACCUCCCUGAUGAAUCGGAUACUACUCAAUCGAUCCACCUCCGCCUUCAUGGCCUCAUAGCGCUCGGGAUCAUAGGCUCGACGCUUCUGUCGGACUGGUCGGACGGCAGGAUUGACGCUAAGCCUAUGAGAUAUGAUGUCUGGUGAUAUGCCAGGCAUGUCAUUGUAGGACCAAGCGAAGACUUCGGAGUUGAGGCGGAGGAAGGCGACCAGGUCAGAGCGAAGCUCUGGUGAGAUGGAGGUGCCGAUCCGGACUUGUCGAUCCGGGAUAUCGUCAUGGAGGGUAACCAGCUCCAGGUCCUCCAUAGGUUCGGCCUGUGGUGCGAUGGACUCCUCCCUGGGGUCUUCAGGUGGGUCUGUGCCAGCUUGAGGAGGGGCGGGAGCCUGGGUUACUGCUAGGGCUUCACUCCUAUGUUGGCGAUUGGUGGAUUUGAUGGCUGAAGCAUAGCAGCUUCGGGCUCCGAGUUGGUCGCCGCGCACCGUGCCUGGGCCAUUAGGAGUGGGGAACUUCAACAGCAGUAUAUGCGUGAAAAUAAAAGCCUUCAUUUGGGCCAAGGCUGGGCGGCCGAGGAUGACGUUGUAGGCUGUGGGGCAAUCGACGAUAAGGAAGGGGGUAGUGAUCGUCGUCCGCUGGGGUGCGGCCCCAAUUGAGAUGGGGAGAUGAAUGCUGCCAAUGGGCUGGACCACAUCACCCGAGAAGCUCACAAGGGGUGUGAUGCUUCGGUCGAGUAGGUGAGGCGGGACCUGGAGUUCAUUGAAGCACUCGGCGAACAUCACACUGACCGAGCUGCCAGUGUCCACCAGGAUACGCCCAACGUCGAAGUUAGAAAUGUCAGCCCGGAUAAUAAGUGGAUCGUCAUGGGGGAGGAUAACACCACGCUCCUCCUCCUCGCAGAAGGUAAUGGGGGCCCAGCCAGUCCUGUGGGUCUUUGGCAAUCGUCCCUGCUCGGUGCUGAAGACCUGGUGCGCAUAGGUGGAGCGGACAUAAUGUUUGAUGGAGUUGUUGGAGGUGCCAGCCAGGGUAGGACCUCCGCUGAUGGUGGAGAUCAUGUUGAUUUGUCGUUGGUGAGGGUUAGGCGGGGCUGGUAUGUUGCGCACAUAGUUGUCCAGCUUACCUUCCCGGAUGAGCCCUUCAAUUAUGUUGCGCAAGGCAACACAAGAUUCGGUGUCAUGGCCGCUGAAUUGAUGAAAGCGGCAGAAGACCCCCGUGUUUGGCAUAGGCUUGUUGGAUGGUCUCCGGGGGGGUGGCUUGGGGAUGAUGGGGGCUUCACGUGCCAGGACGUUCUCAUAGGUGGUGUUGAGGGUCGUAAAAACCUCAAACCUGGGCCUGGGUGCGAAUGGAAGUGGGGCCCGAUCACCAGGCCUGGGAGGGUUGCUUCCACUAGAUUGAUGGGGGUUGCCAUGUCUGCCACGUUUGUGAUUGCCGAAGGGAUGCUGGUAGCUAUCCUUCCGCUUAUGUGGUUGGUUGUCCUGGGCAAUCGGGGCAGGGGUAGAAUGCUGAGGUGGGGCUGGGGCGGGUGCUGAAGCCGGUGGAGGGUCGGCGAAAGUGUUGCGCGCCAAGUUGGCUGGGCCACGCUUGGAAUUGAAGUAUUCAGCCUUAGCGUGGAUCGCCGCCUGCUUCAUCAGCUCUGCAUAUGUGUUCCAACUGUUGCUAUGAACCAGGUAGCGGAAGUUGGACUCGCGGAGGCCGCUCUUAAAAGCGCCGAAGGCAGCGCGAUCGUCAGUGUCUGGGCAGCGAGAGUAUUCAUGACUGAACCGAGCUGCAUAUUCCCGAAGGGGUUCGUCCUCAGCCUGCCUAAGCAUAUACAAGUCGUCGGCAGAGUAUAGGCGAUCAGUCUGGAUCAUAAAAUGGUCCAGGAACGUCUGCUUGAGACUAUCGAAGGAGUUGAUGGUGCAGGGGUGGAGCCUGUAGAACCAAUUCAGGGCCGCGCCGCUGAGGGUGGAAGGGAAAAGGAGGCACAUGCCUUCAUCAGUGAGGCCUUUGCACCCAAGGGCAGACUGGAAGGAGUGGAUGUGGGUGAGAGGGUCCUCCGUGCCAGUGUAGAAAGCGAUGCGGAGGGGCUGGAUAUCUUUCUCCUGGUGGUAGUGGAGGAUGCGUUCAGUAAAGGGCCCUGGUCGUGGUUUUGCCCAGAGGGGUUGAUGGCUGCGUUGUUGUUCGCUUUCCAAGCGCCGGACCUUUUCGAAGAGAAGCCUCAUGGCCGGGUCGGCAUGAGGAAGAGUUUCAGGCGCCAAAGGCCUGGGGGCGGGGCAGACAGGGACUGGGGAUUGUUCCCAAUUUUCCAGCGCCCCGGUGUGGUAAUUUGGCCAGGUCUCCGAAUUAUAAAAGUCCCAAGUAUCCGAGUCCCCGACACCUUCCUCGUCGGGUAUGCGGACGGGGGCUGGCGAAGGGCCCGGGUGUGUCACCCGUGGGUCUUCGAGGUUGACAGGGAUAGGGAUCGGCCUUGGCUGGCGGUCCGAGAGGCGAUCCCUGCAAUCUUGGUAGAUCCUGACUGGUUCAUGGGGCCGGUCCCUCGGUGGGGGAACGCAAAGGGGUCGUGACUGGGCUAUCUCCGGAUGAAGGUGGUCCUUACCCUUGCGGAGCCUAGCCUGGGCCGAGGCACUGUGGCUGGAAUGUACCGGCUGGUUCGGCUGAGUAGGCCCAACGUUCUGGGUGAGGUCUUGCGGGGCAUCCUGGGUGUGAGUCCUUUCCCAGUUCCGCUUUAAAACACGGUAGUCAUGUUCUAGCUCAAUGUUCCUGCAAUGAAGGUGGUCGUAUUUUUCCGACAUUUUAGUGACACUGUCGCGGAGACGCUCCACUUCUGCCUGGAGAGUGGCAUCUUCCGAAGAUCUCCUUCUAGAAGUACCAUCGCGGGGGGUAUGAUGCUGGGUAUCGCGGCUAUCCUCGGUCGGCAUAGCAGAAUGUGGGGUGAAGAAGAGGCGACGGGGCCUGAGGGGUGAAGGAGCCAGCUGGGCUGAUAGAGAAAGAGGGGAUUCAAGUGUCGAUUUCCCACAGACGGCGCCAAACUGUUGAUGCUCAAAAUGGCCCGGCCAAUAUUGAGUCCAACUUAGUGAUUAGAUGUGCUGAGUCUUCAGCAGAGAAGAGGGCUGAGGCCCUUGGUGAAAUGGGUUGGUGAGAGACCUGUAGAAGGUAAAAAGAGGAGAAGCAAUCGUCAAGCUUCGGACACCGGUGUGGUGCCGGCCGAAGGCUCUCCGAUGCCUAAGUCAAUUACAAGUAGUAAUUCUGGCAGAGUAACAGUAAAAGUGGGAGAGUAGUUCUCUGUUUUACCUGGGUACUGUUCCCUAUUUAUAGGGAAGUGAAAGUGGGAGCUUUGCACAAAGUUCCAAUGUGGGACUUUGUGCAAGCCAUUGUGGUGACGACACGUGUCCUGGAGAUUAGGUUUGGCAGCUGAGAGCUUCGGCAGGUGUCUGGCACCUCGGAAGUGUGUCUUCCUUCGGCAUGGGAGAAGGCGUGGCUGCCUUGGUGCUAGUCGCUUUGAUGCUGGGUCUGCUCGGUUCAUUAUGGUGUAAACAUAAAGUAUUAGGAAUUUUCUUUAGCACCUUGACAUUCAAUUUUCUCUAGUCUCAUUAUGAUUGACGUGUGAUUUCCAUAACAUUAAUUAUGCAUUGUAUAUAGCAGAUAAUUUACUCCUUUAUAUGGUUUUGUCUUGUAUGAUUGUGUGGCUUUCUUCCUUUUUUCCUAUAUAUAUCUGAUGCAAGCUAGCAUAUAUCAAUAUACACUUGCAGUGUUUUUGCAUGUGCAUGUGCUUUUGAUCAAUUAACAUGAAGGGCGACGGAAGGUGCUUGAAACUCUUUCUUGCAUUAUCGAUCCUUUUCCUACAAAACGUAAAAGGAGGAGAAGUUGGCCACAGCCACAACCACAGCCACAGUCACAGCCUCAGAGAUGCUAAAGUGACAGUGAGGUGCAUAGAGAGGGAAAGGCAAGCACUACUUGCAUUCAAACGUGGCCUGGUGGAUGAGUUCAAUCUACUCUCAACUUGGGGUUCAGAAGCCGAAAAACAAGAUUGUUGCAGAUGGGAAGGAGUCUAUUGUAGCAACCAAACUGGCCAUGUGAUUCAACUUCAUCUUGGAUAUUCUUUCCUUGAUGAGAUGUUUCAACCUGCUUUUGAAUAUUCUUUCCAAGGUAAGAUGAUUAGUCCUAAACUGAUUGAGUUGCAGCAUUUACAAUAUUUGCACCUUGCAUCCAUUGAUUUCAAUGAGAGCCAAAUUCCUGAUUUCAUUGGUUCUCUAACCAAUCUAAGAUACCUCAGUUUCCAUUCCUGUCAUUUGGUUGGUCAAAUUCCAAGUUCGUUUGGAAACCUCACGCAAUUGCAAUAUCUCGACCUCAGCUAUAAUUAUCAGCUUCAACCAGAAAAUCUCAAUUGGCUCGUUGCUCUUUCUUCUUUAACGGAUUUGGGCCUUGCAUCCUUUGAUUUCAAUUGGAGCCAAAUUCCAGAUUUCAUUGGUUCUCUAACCAAUCUAAGAAACCUCAAACUCUCUUCCUGUAAUUUGGUUGGUCCAAUUCCAAGUUCGUUUGGAAACCUCACACAAUUGCAACAUCUCGACCUCGCCAAUAAUCAGCUUCAACCAGAAAAUCUCAAUUGGCCCCCCGCUCUUUCUUCUUUAACAGAUUUGGACCUAAGCGGAAACAAUCAAAAUACUGUUUUGGACCUUGCAUCGAUUGAUUUCAAUGGGAGUCAAAUUCCAGAUUUCAUUGGUUCUCUAGCUAAUCUAAGGUACCUCAGUCUCAGUUCCUGUAAUUUGGUUGGUCAAAUUCCCAGUUUGUUUGGAAACCUCACGCAAUUGCAACAUCUCGACCUUAGCGGUAAUCAUCUUCAAGCAGAAAAUCUCAAUUGGCUCCCUGCUCUUUCUUCUUUAACGUAUUUGGACCUAAGCGGAGCCAAUCUCAGUACUGUUUUCGAUUGGCCAGAAGCAGUACUUAAUAAGCUCCCUAAACUAGAAGAGUUGACCUUGGUGAACUGUAGUCUUCCUCCUCCUCCUCCUCCUCCUCCUACUCUUUACAAAACAAAUUCUUCUACAUCUCUUGCGUAUGUUGAUCUCUCUGACAACCAUCUCACUUCUUCAAUAUUUCUUUGGUUGUCCAACUACAGUACAAGCCUUGUUGCUCUUGGCCUCUCCAACAAUCAUCUAUCUGGUUUCAUUCCCAAUUUCAUUGGAAACAUGAGCUCUCUUGUGGAUCUGGAUCUCUCUGAUAACCAGAUUAAAGGAGCGAAUCCAAAUUCGUUUGCAAGGCUGUGUAAUUUGCAAACAUUGCAGCUUCAAAGAAAUCAUCUGAGUGGACAAUUAUCUCAACUAUUGCCUAGAUGUGCUCAAAACUCAUUAGAGGAAUUGUACCUCUCUAAUAAUGUUCUUGCGGGGUCAUUAAACAAUCUUACAAGCUUCUCAUCUUUGGAAGUCUUGCAUCUUAGCGCCAAUCAAUUAAGCGGAAAAAUACCUGAAAGUGUUGGGCAAAUGUCCCAACUGUAUGACAUUGAUUUCAGCAUGAACUCUUUGGAAGGGGUGGUUUCAGAAACUCAUUUCUCAAAACUCUCCAAAUUAGAAUAUUUGGAUUUAUCCUCUAACUCACUAGUUUUAAACUUUAGUUCUAAUUGGGUUCCUCCCUUCCAGUUGAGAUACAUAAAUUUGACGUCCUGCAAGGUCGGUCCCCUUUUCCCAAAAUGGCUUCAAACUCAAAAACAUUUUUCCCUGCUUGAUAUUUCUAAUGCUGGAAUAUCUGAUAGCCUUCCAAGUUGGUUUUGGAGUAAUUUUCGUAGCGCAGACAUUAUUAAUCUCUCACAGAAUCUAAUCAGAGGAAUACUUACAAAUUUGACAGCAGAAUUUCCAUUUUACGCAGAACUACAUUUAAGUUCGAACCAAAUAGAAGGUCCAAUUCCCUCAAUUCUAUCACAAGCCUCAUAUCUGGAUCUCUCUAAUAAUAACAUUUCAGGGUCGCUUUCUUUCCUAUGUGCAAGUGCAGAUAUGAGUUAUCUUAAUCUUUCAAGCAACAGUUUUUCUGGAGAACUUCCGGAUUGCUGGAGCCAUUUGGAGAAUAAUCUAGUCAUGCUUGAUUUGAGUAACAACGCUUUUUCCGGAAAAAUUCCCAUGACAAUAGGCUCUUUAUUUCAAAUGCAAACUUUGAAAUUAAGAAGCAACCGAUUUGUUGGAGAAUUGCCUUCAUCGUUGAAGAACUGCACAAGUUUAGAGGUUAUUGAUCUGGGAGAUAAUAAAUUAUCAGGACCAAUACCUACAUGGUUAGGUGUGAGCUUCAAUAAUUUGGUUAUCCUGAUGCUUUCCUCUAAUCACUUCAAUGGAAGCAUGCCCUCGCAAUUAUGUCAUCUAACACGAAUUCAAAUUAUGGAUUUUUCUGUGAACAACAUCUCUGGAAGCAUACCCAAAUGCCUCAACAAUUUGACUACUCUGGCUCAAAAAGGAAAUCCAAGUCUAUCCAGUAGACAUUCUUAUACGAGACUUAUGGGUAAUAACACAGCUGCUAGUGCUAAUUAUGAGGAUGAUGCAAGCUUCAUAUGGAAAGGAAGAAUGCAGACAUACAAAAGCACUUUGGGACUUGUGAAAAGAAUUGAUCUCUCAAGCAAUAGAUUAACAGGGGAGAUUCCAAGUGAAAUCACUCAUCUUGUUGAGUUGGUUUCUUUAAACCUUUCAAGAAACCGGUUAACAGGUCAAAUAACUCCAGAGAUUGGAAAUUUGCAGUCAUUGGAUUCUCUUGAUUUGUCAAGAAACCAGAUAGAUGGAAGAAUUCCGACAAGCCUUGCUCGGAUAGAUCGUCUUAGUUUCUUGGACCUGUCAUAUAACAACUUGUCUGGCAAAAUACCAACAGGCACUCAGCUCCAAAGCUUUGAUCCCCUUGAUUAUGCUGAAAAUCCUCAACUAUGUGGACCUCCACUUAAAAAGAUGUGUGCUGAUCAAAAUGAGCCAUUGAGCAAUGAAGAGGAUAAGGAUGAGUUUAUAACACUGGGAUUUUACAUCAGUAUGGGGAUUGGAUUUGCUGCUGGAUUUUGGGGAGUUUGCGGCACUUUGAUAUUCAAUAGGUCAUGGAGAUAUGCAUACUUGAAGUUCUUGAAUGGUUUAAAUGAUUGGCUCUAUGUGAAGAUAGCUUUGAGCAAGCGGCAACUAAAGCUAGCAUAUGCUUAGUAGAUAAGCUCGCAACGGUACUCUCUCAUUCAUCAUUAAUUUUGUUUUAUAAUUAUUUUUCUUAUUGCAUUUUUUCCUUUUCUCCAUACUGACGGGUAUUAGUUUGUUUACUUUGAUAUUUAGCUGCAGCAUCUAAAUUAGGAGAAAAGUAGUUGUAGCUGAAUGCCUUCUUUCAGUUCAAGUGUGGAAGAUUGCCAGUAGCCGCACGCACAAGUAUCUGGAGAAGAGUUUACGAGUUAAUUUGGAGUGCUUAGUAGGAAUAAAUAUUAUUCAUAUUAGUGUUAAUUACUUGUCAGAAUAAUUAAUUCGGAAUUCUCCAAUUAAUGUUUUUUAAUAUAUUUGUUAUAGAGAAAUAAACAGAUCCAUUUUAAUCCAAGCUCACUCCGAUUAAUGUAUUAAUUCCAGCUAUAAUGUUAUUUUAAUGAACUAAGCCAAAGCCAAAGCGGACUUGAUUUCAAAUUACAAUGUGUGGCUCUGUUUUGGUCAUCUAUUUGCAACGUACAGCUUCUCCUUGUAAAUGCGUGGCUUUGUUUUGGUCAUUCUUUCCUUUCAUAAUUCAACAUCUUGUUCUGGAUUCCUUUUUGUAAACAGACUUUUUGUAUUUGGUCUAUUUUGUGGAUUUUAAGAUUGUGUUAGGCUUACUUGUUAGCUGCAAAAUGCCUUGUACCAAAACUAAAUGGUUUAUCCAUACUCUUCUUGGCUUCAAGCUGAUAUCUCCUAAAGUAGAAAUGAAGAAAUAAAAUAGCUUCUAAAUUACACGAGAUUCUACCCCCAGCUUGCUUGCAGUAUAUGAUACACAUAUCUAGCACGUUGAAUCCAUACAGAAAAACCAAAAGCAGCAUAUGAUACACAUAUCUUGCACGUCUCUUGCUAAGACGCCAAGAGUUAGGUUCACGGUAUCUAUCAUAUAGCGGUUCAAUACGUUCUUGACGCUUGCGCUUGCUCAUCUUGGUGGGAUCUGCCACUUUGAAGAACCUGGGUGCCAGUUCCGCGAGCCAUCUGGGGUCAACGACUGUCACCUCGCGCAUGUACUCCUUUGUGGUCAUAACCAGCUCCUGGUAGAUCACCCAAUCUGGUUGUCUCUGGAAGAGGGCGCUGCUUGGGUGUAUAUAAACUGGUUGGUUCUCCACUAGGGUUCUAUAACCCUCCUGCGGGUCCUUUCUAGCACCGUGGAAGAAAAACCCUGCUGUAAUUGCCUUCCUGAUCUUUGUAAAAUUCUUUCCAGCACUGACAACAUCUAGUUUAUACCUGAAAUUCACAAUCUAUAGUCAGAAUGCAAUUUCAUCUUCAAAUCAGAAAACUUAGAAAUCUUUGAUCACUGUUAUAAACUAAAGCAACCGGUGCUAGUAGAGACAUUGGCAUGACAAACUUAUGCUAAGUUUUUAUACACAAUCUUUAUAAUAAUCUAUCCUAGAACUUACAUGACAAUGCUAUGUCAAUCAAAGAAAUCUGUUAAUGGCGAUGGUAGGAUGUGUAAUAUGCCAUCUGAAUUUCCAUAUCAACUUAUAAAACAGUUUUGCAAUAUUUUGUACAAACAACACUUUACCAAGAAAAACAAUUCCAGUAUCAAAAUGACUAACAUGUCAGCACAAGAGAGCACAUUUGAAGAGCAUAUACUGGCAAUUUAGCUAUACACAAGAGUAGUUAUAAUUUAUAAAGAUACUAUACUUAACCAUUGAAAAAAUGGGAAAAAAGCACUUCUGCUAAUAAUGCUCGGAAAACAGUGUAUGUAACAUCAACAUGAGUCAUGACAACUCGUAAUGACCUAUUCAAUGCUCAGGUAUCAUAUAUCAAGAUUUUAAAACACAAACUAGGCCUGAACAACAUUUCAGCAUUUCCAUCAAGUACAGACAGCAAAAGGCGUGCCUAAUUCACGACUACUGCAAAAAUACAAUGUACCAAACAUAAGAAAACCUAGAACAUUAAUCUACAUCUUUUAAAACCAUUCAUGCACAUGUGAAACCAGAAAAAAAAUCCAUGCAGCCACGAAUACACAUCAAGAUAAAUUAGAAGAACAUACUUGUCCAUGAUGCUGAGAAGCUGUUUUCUGACAUCCUGUGCCCUCCUCAAGGAUCGAGACUGAACAAAGUUCUCAAAACACCAUGGCCCUGAAAAAUUCUUAGCUUUCCAUGCCUCAUAGACUGCAAGUAAAGUCAGAUGAUCUCCUUCUGGCUGGAAAAACUUGGCUCUCUUCUGAUCUGCCUGGGCUUGUUUUUCCCUAGGCCUGUAAAAAAUAUUACCAGUCUGAAUCAUUGCAAUGAUGGUCAAGAUCUCAUCACUGCAUCCAAGGUCGACACUGCCCAGUAGCAUCUUAGACAAGGUGGAUCCAGAGGAAACUCAGCCAUUUUCCUACCCAAUUUGGUGAGCAGCCCCUCCUCAUCCAGUGCUCCUAAACUGUACAAUUGUUCCAUGGCAGAAAUGAGUGCUUGGGGUGAAGGAGGAUCCAUAAAAUCAAAAGACAAGAGAUCAUUUAUCCCCAUAGCUUUCAUCGUAAGUGAAGUUGUCCCAAGAUUUAUCCUCUGGAUUUCUGGAAUUGAAGUAGGGGACAUCUCAUUGCGGUAUGCACUCUCAGUGUAGAGGCGGUAACAUUUCCCAGGGCCUGUACGCCCAGCGAACCCAGCUCGUUGCUUGGCUGAUGCUUGGGAAAUUGGAGUUAUGACAAGUGAAUCUAGGCCCUGCUUUGGGUUAUAAACAUUUUGCUUUGCAAAACCAGGAUCAAUGACAUAAAAUAUCCCAUCAAUGGUCAGUGAUGCCUCAGCAAUAUUAGUAGCCACAACUACUUUCCUCUAACCUGGUGGGGCAGGAUCAAAUAUCCUUGACUGCAUUUCACUAGGAAGGGCACUAUACACUGGUAGGAUAAUCAACUCAGGGACAUUUUUACCAAGACCUUUCAUCCUCUCAUAAAGAGACUAGCAUGCAAAAUCGAUCUCUUCUUGUCCAGUCAAGAAAAGAAGGAUGUCACCUUCAGGUUCUGUCAAGUGUAUUUGUAGAACAGUUAUUAGAGAUGCAUCAAGGUAGUCACUUUCCGUCUGUUUAGUGUAAAGUAUCUCUACAGGAAAGUUCUCCCAGGGAUAGUGAAGAUGUUACAGUUGAAGAAAUAACCAGAAAACUUCUCCGCAUCCAAAGUAGCAGAUGUGACAAUCAAACGAAGGUCUGGUCUCCGCUUCACAAGCUUCUUCAGUAGUCCAAAAAGAACAUCUGUGUGGAUUGUCCUCUCAUGAGCUUCAUCAAGCAUGACCACAGAAUACUGAGAAAGGUUCUCGUCAAUCAAAAUCUCCCGAAGAAGCAUACCAUC
rnacentral:lncRNA from 1 species